UACGGAAGGCAGCAGUGGGGAAUAUUGCACAAUGGGCGAAAGCCUGAUGCAGCUAUGCCGCGUGUAUGAAGAAGGCCUUAGGGUUGUAAAGUACUUUCAUCGGGGAGGAAAAAACAAAACUAAUAAUUUUAUUUCUUGACGUUACCCGAAAAAGAAGCACCGGCUAACUCCGUGCCAGCAGCCGCGGUAAUACGGAGGGUGCUAGCGUUAAUCAGAAUUACUGGGCGUAAAGAGCACGUAGGUGGGUUUUUUUAAGUCAGAUGUGAAAUCCCUGGGCUUAACCUAGGAACUGCAUUUGAAACUGAAAUACUAGAGUAUCGUAGAGGGAGGUAGAAUUCUAGGUGUAGCGGUGAAAUGCGUAGAUAUCUGGAGGAAUACCUGUGGCGAAAGCGGCCUCCUAAACGAAUACUGACACUGAGGUGCGAAAGCGUGGGGAGCAAACAGGGAUUAGAUA
rnacentral:rRNA from 1 species